GGGAGUGGGUGGGGGGCAGCCCCUAUUGGGGCUAGGAAACUCCGCCCACCGCUAGGAGGUGCGCUGGCGUAAGCCAGGGAGGCGAGAGCCUCCGGCUCCGCACAGAAACGACACAGCCUCCUUCAGAUGCCGAUGAUAUACUUUUGAGCAUGAAGGAGUAGCUGGUGAAACGUGGUGGGGCCCGCACGGUGCAAGCCAGUUUCCCACGAUGAGUUCCUAGUGAGUGGGAGGUUUGGUGCUUAGCCACAUGCCCCCAGAACAGAAGGCGGGUUACUACCCACUCCC
rnacentral:RNase_P_RNA from 1 species